UACGUAGGGGGCAAGCGUUGUCCGGAUUUAUUGGGCGUAAAGAGCUCGUAGGUGGUUCGGUAAGUCGGAUGUGAAAUCUCCAGGCUCAACCUGGAGGGGUCAUUCGAUACUGCCGUGACUAGAGUUCGGUAGGGGAGUGGAAUUCCUGGUGUAGCGGUGAAAUGCGCAGAUAUCAGGAAGAACACCCGUGGCUAAGGCGGCUCUCUAGUACGGUACUGACGCUGAGACGCGAAAGCGUGGGGAGCGAACAGG
rnacentral:rRNA from 1 species